rnacentral:rRNA from 1 species
AUUGAACGCUGGCGGCAGGCCUAACACAUGCAAGUCGAGCGGCAGCGGAAAGUAGCUUGCUACUUUGCCGGCGAGCGGCGGACGGGUGAGUAAUGUCUGGGAAACUGCCUGAUGGAGGGGGAUAACUACUGGAAACGGUAGCUAAUACCGCAUAACGUCGCAAGACCAAAGAGGGGGACCUUCGGGCCUCUUGCCAUCAGAUGUGCCCAGAUGGGAUUAGCUAGUAGGUGGGGUAAUGGCUCACCUAGGCGGCGAUCCCUAGCUGGUCUGAGAGGAUGACCAGCCAAACUGGAACUGAGACACGGUCCAGACUCCUACGGGAGGCAGCAGUGGGGAAUAUUGCACAAUGGGCGCAAGCCUGAUGCAGCCAUGCCGCGUGUAUGAAGAAGGCCUUCGGGUUGUAAAGUACUUUCAGCGGGGAGGAAGGUGUUGAGGUUAAUAACCUCAGCAAUUGACGUUACCCGCAGAAGAAGCACCGGCUAACUCCGUGCCAGCCGCCGCAGUAA